rnacentral:rRNA from 1 species
UACGGGGGGAGCAAGCGUUGUUCGGAUUUACUGGGCGUAAAGGGCGCGUAGGCGGUCAGCACAAGUCAGUUGUGAAAUCUCCGGGCUUAACUCGGAAAGGUCAACUGAUACUGUGCGACUAGAGUGCAGAAGGGGCAACUGGAAUUCUCGGUGUAGCGGUGAAACGCGUAGAUAUCGAGAGGAACACCUGCGGCGAAGGCGGGUUGCUGGGCUGACACUGACGCUGAGGCGCGAAAGCCAGGGGAGCGAACGGG